AUUCCCCCUCCAAUAGCGUAUAUUAAAGUUGUUGCAGUUAAAAAGCUCGUAGUUGAAUUUCGAGAUCAAUUUGUGGGUCGUGCCUCGGUACGUACUGGCAUUAUCGAUUUCUCCCUUCUGAAGAACCGCGAUGUCAUUAAUUUGGUGUCGUGGGGAAUCAGGACUGUUACUUUGAAAAAAUUAGAGUGUUUAAAGCAGGCUUACGCUUGAAUACAUUAGCAUGGAAUAAUGAAAUAGGACGUUUGAUUCUAUUUUGUUGGUUUCUAGGAUCGACGUAAUGAUUAAUAGGGAUAGUUGGGGGCAUUAGUAUUCAAUUGUCAGAGGUGAAAUUCUUGGAUUUAUUGAAGACUAACUACUGCGAAAGCAUUUGCCAAGGAUGUUUUCAUUAAUCAAGAACGAAAGUUAGGGGAUCGAAGACGAUCAGAUACCGUCGUAGUCUUAACCAUAAACUAUGCCGACUAGGGAUCGGAUGAUGUUAAUUUUUAAUGACUCA
rnacentral:rRNA from 1 species